rnacentral:rRNA from 1 species
GACGAACGCUGGCGGCGUGCUUAACACAUGCAAGUCGAACGGAAAGGCCCUGCUUUUGUGGGGUGCUCGAGUGGCGAACGGGUGAGUAACACGUGAGUAACCUGCCCUUGACUUUGGGAUAACUUCAGGAAACUGGGGCUAAUACCGGAUAGGAGCUCCUGCUGCAUGGUGGGGGUUGGAAAGUUUCGGCGGUUGGGGAUGGACUCGCGGCUUAUCCGCUUGUUGGUGGGGUAGUGGCUUACCAAGGCUUUGACGGGUAGCCGGCCUGAGAGGGUGACCGGCCACAUUGGGACUGAGAUACGGCCCAGAAUCCUACGGGAGGCAGAAGUGGGGAAUAUUGCACAAUGGGCGGAAGCCUGAUGCAGCAACGCCGCGUGCGGGAUGACGGCCUUCGGGUUGUAAACCGCUUUCGCCUGUGACGAAGCGUGAGUGACGGUAAUGGGUAAAGAAGCACCGGCUAACUACGUG